rnacentral:SRP_RNA from 1 species
UCUGGGUAUGGUGGCUCACACCUGUAGUCUCAGCUACUCAGGAGAUGAGGCAGGAGGAUCACUUGAGCCCAGGAGUUUGAGGCUGCAGUGAGCUAUGAUUGUGCCACUGCACUCCAGUCUGGGCAAGAGAGGGAGACCCUGUCUCUU